rnacentral:lncRNA from 10 species
GAAAACUACUACAUCUUGGAGAUUAAAUGUCUCUCCCUUCUCAUGUGUUGUGCUGAUGCAGGAGACAACCGCGAAGAUGGGGACAGAAUCAGUAACAUCGACGUAAGGGAAUUGAAGCAGAAGAUCACGCUGCCUGCAGACACCAGGAAACGCCAAGACCCCCCUUCCACGAACCAACAUUCUUCCACCCUCUCCAACUUUUUUCUGGAACCCCUUCACUUCCAACGCCACUCAAUGUACACUUCACUUUCUCGUGCUCUUCCUAAGAGAGUAGUGUUUUCUUCCUCCCCACCGAGAAAAAAAAUAAAAGCAACAACUGGAACUUCUUCCUUACCCUGCCUUGUCUGCAGACCCUGGA